GCGCGCAAAUUACCCAUUCCCGACGCGGGGAGGUAGUGACGAAAAAUAACAAUGCAGGACUCGUUCGAGGCCCUGUAAUUGGAAUGAGUACACUUUAAAAGCUUUAACGAGUAUCCAUUGGAGGGCAAGUCUGGUGCCAGCAGCCGCGGUAAUUCCAGCUCCAAAAGUAUAUAUUUAAGUUGUUGCGGUUAAAAAGCUUGUAGUUGGAUUUUGGGCGCAGGCGGCCGGUCCGUCGCAAGGCGUGUACUGGACGUCCUGGCCUUCCCUCCGGUUCUCCGCCGGUGCUCUUGACUGAGUGUCGGCGGCGGCCGGAACGUUUACUUUGAAAAAAUUAGAGUGUUCAAAGCAGGCUCUCGAGCCUGGAUAAUGGUGCAUGGAAUAAUGGAAUAGGACCUCGGUUCUAUUUUGUUGGUUUUCGGAGCGCGAGGUAAUGAUUAAGAGGGACAGACGGGGGCAUUCGUACUGUGCCGUUAGAGGUGAAAUUCUUGGAUCGGCGCAAGACGAACGACUGCGAAAGCAUUUGCCAAGAAUGUUUUCUUUAAUCAAGAGCGAAAGUCAGAGGUUCGAAGACGAUCAGAUACCGUCCUAGUUCUGACUAUAAACGAUGCCAACUAGCGAUCGGGGGGCGUUACAUUGACGACCCCUCCGGCAGCUUACGGGAAACCAAAGUCUUUGGGUUCCGGGGGAAGUAUGGUUGCAAAGCUGAAACUUAAAGGAAUUGACGGAAGGGCACCACCAGGAGUGGAGCCUGCGGCUUAAUUUGACU
rnacentral:ncRNA from 1 species